AGCCCUCUCUCUCUCUCUCUCUCUCUCUCUCUCUAAACUAUCCUCUCUCUAUUUCGGCGACUGUCUCCUCCGGCGAAUGUCAUCGCCGUCCGUCUUCUCCCACACUGCCGAACAGCAGCUUCGCGUCUUCUUCGCCCAUUCCCCUUCGCUCAUAAAUUCCGCUCUCAAACUCUUUUCCCUGAAUUUCAUUGAAAUCAGAAAAUACAACCCCUAAAUCCUCUCCAUCCUCCAGCGAGCAGCGUGUCCUCACCAUCUUUCUACCAUGCACAUGUGUGAGGAAACUCAAGGGCUACACUGUUCUUUAUAAGUGAGAUUCUAGACCUCCUUGUGUGCGAAAUUGGAACUGGAAAGAAGUGGUUUUUAUUUUGAAUGAAGUGGAUGGGUGCAAUUUUGCAAGACAAAGAUGCGGAGGAAUGGACUUACAGAGGAGAAGGAGCUCUGAAUCUAGUUCUUGCUUAUUGUGGAAGCUCUCCUCAUUUUGUUGGAAAAGUUUUAAGGAUACAAAAAGUUCGAAAUGAUAGACCUGAAUGUGAGAAUGGUCAUUCAGCUCUAGUCAACCAUGAAUCCCUCUUGUGGGGAAAAUUUGAAGGCAUAGUUUCAGCACCUACAAGGGAAGUUGCAGAGCACAUAUAUGUACAGAAAGUAAUGUGUCCACUCUUGGGAUCAGAGCAUGUUGACGCAGGGAUCCAUGUUCUUGUGUCAAGAGAAUUUUUGGAGGCAGUUGACAAUAAGGUUCUUUGUCAGCGUCCAUCAUGGCGUGUUGAUGCUGCCAGAAUCAAUCCCCUUCAUGACUCGGUUCUUCUAAUUUCUGAUCAUUCAGUGUUUCCUCAUUUUUCAGAUUCUCUCAGAGAGGAUUUCUGUGUGUCUGUUGAGAUAAAGCCCAAAGGCGGAUUUCUUCCCACUUCAGAAUUUAUAGCUGAGGGAAAUGCAGUCAAAAAGAGAAUUACUCAAUUUAAGAUGCAUCAAGCUCUAAAAUUGCAUCGAGGAAAGAUAUCUCAAAUAAGUCAAUAUCAUCCUCUAGAUUUGUUUUCUGGAUCCAAGGAUGGAAUACAAAAAGCAAUUGAAGCCCUCUUUCUAACACCGCAGAAUAAUUUUCGGGUUUUCUUAAAUGGUUCGAUUAUUUUUGGAGGCAUGGGUGGUACUGCAGACAGCACUAGUUCUACGGCUGCUCAAUCUUUCCAUGACGGACUUAAACAUGUCAUUUCAGCAAAAGAUGGGAUGCACAUCAAGGGUUUUGUAGAUCUGCUCACUGAAACUAUUUUUAAGUCUGGCUUAUUAAAUCGGCUUCUUGAAGUACAGAAGCUUGAUGCUAUUGAUAUAGAAGGUGCAAUUCAUUCCUACUAUGAUAUUAUUUCUCAGCCUUGUGUGGUAUGUCGGCAAAUAGGUGGGGAAAAAUUCGCAGCAAGGUAUUCAUCAAUUCAUUCAAUGCUAAGGGAUGAUAAAGUGAGAAUUGUGAGGGAUUACUUGAUAUCAGCCACUGCAAAGGACUUAAGUAUGAUGAUUAGUUUCAAGUCCAAAAUAAAUAUGGAUGAGGAAUCUCUACAUCGUGCUGUCUUUCUGGAAUCAAGCAAGCAAACCUUUUAUUACAAGGCAUCUUUCAUUGACCUGGACAUGAAACCAUUGAAGAAAAUGGAAUAUUACUACGAGUUGGAUCAACAAAUUGUCAACUACUAUGUCCAAAUGUUAAAAGAUACAGAUGUGCUUGAUUGUGGUGAGACAACCCAAGAGUCACUGAAUACAAGUACCGGUAUUAAUAAUGGUGCACCCCAUCAAUAAAUAAGGUGAAUUCUGCCCCAUAUUUGCUCCUUGACUAGAGCUCCAAAUUUAUGUUAGUGAAAAGAAGUCUCCAACUGAAUCAGUUUCAACAUUUUUAAAAAGCAUCAUUUCCAUUUCCAAAUCUCAGUGCCUCAACAUUGCAAAUGCCACUCUUUUGAGAGGUGACUCAGCAUCACAAAACAUAAGAGUAAGAAAUGGCAAAUUGAUCGAGGAGCUCAGAAGAGAGAUAUAGAUCAGCUUUCUUUUCUACGAAGAAAGGGUGUCAACUACUACUUCAGUAUCUUCCAGUCAACAUCAGCCAUGGAUUUAUGCAGCUCGAUUUGGACCAAGAAGUUAAUUAUAUGGCUCGCUGGAAGAUGACCACUCCUCGUGCGCUCUCUAGGCUACAAGUUAACCCCAACCAGUUUCUUCUAACUGAAUCUGGAAUGUAAUUCGACAUUUAACUCGUAGACUUCAUGAAAGUUUAGUAUUCUCAUCAACAUUAAGUGUA